UAAAGAGUUCUAUAACUCCCAAACCCAUGUGAACAUACCUAACGUUGCCUCGGCAGGUCGCACCUACCUUGUAGCACCCUACCCUGUAGGGCCUACCCGGGAGGUGCGGGUAAGCCUGCCGGCGGCCCACCAAACUCUGUUUGAUAUUGAAUUCUGAACCUAUAACUAAAUAAGUUAAAACUUUCAACAACGGAUCUCUUGGUUCUGGCAUCGAUGAAGAACGCAGCGAAAUGCGAUAAGUAAUGUGAAUUGCAGAAUUCAGUGAAUCAUCGAAUCUUUGAACGCAUAUUGCGCCCAUUAGUAUUCUAGUGGGCAGGACCGUUCGAGCGUCAUUUCAACCCUUAAGCCUUCGUUGCUUAGUGUUGGGAGCCUACGGCAACGUAGCUCCUCAAAGUUAGUGGCGGAGUUGGUUCACACUCUAGACGUAGUAAUUUUUUAUCUCGCCUAUUAGUUGGACUAAUCCCCUGCCGUAAAACCCCCAAUUUAUCAAGGUUGACCUCGAAUCGGUUCAGACAAACUCGCUAAAUUGAAGCAUCUUAGUCAGCGAAGGAAAAGAAACCAACAGGGAUUGCCCUAGUAACGGCGAGUGAAGCGGCAACAGCUCAAAUUUGAAAUCUGGCCC
rnacentral:rRNA from 1 species